CUUGUGGUCGCUGGAAGAUGACGUAGCCGGGGGCGUCAGGCUCUGUGUUGGUAGGAGGGAGCAUGUGGGUCUGCGGCACGCUGUGGUGGGUGCGAACCCCCGGCCGGCUGUGGCGGAGGCUGCUCCCUGCUUCUGGCUGUCACGGACCUGCCGCCUCCUACUACUCUGCAUCCGCCGCGCCUGCCCGGGUCCCGGCGCUUGUCUAUGGGCACCACGGGGAUCCAGCCAAGGUCGUCGAACUGAAGAACCUGGAGCUAGCUGCUGUGGGAGGAUCAGACGUCCUCGUGAAGAUGCUGGCGGCCCCUAUCAAUCCAUCUGACAUAAAUAUGAUCCAAGGAAACUACGGCCUCCUUCCUGAACUGCCUGCUGUUGGAGGGAACGAAGGUGUUGCCCAGGUGGUAGCGGUGGGCAGCAGUGUGACCGGGCUGAAGCCAGGAGACUGGGUGAUUCCUGCAAAUGCUGGUUUGGGAACCUGGCGGACCGAGGCCGUGUUCAGCGAGGAAGCACUGAUCCAAGUUCCGAGUGACAUCCCUCUUGAGAGUGCUGCCACCCUGGGUGUCAACCCCUGCACAGCCUACAGGAUGUUGAUGGACUUCGAGCAGCUGCAGCCAGGGGAUUCUGUCAUCCAGAAUGCAUCCAACAGUGGAGUGGGCCAAGCAGUCAUCCAGAUCGCCGCAGCUCUGGGCCUAAGAACCAUCAAUGUGGUCCGAGACAGACCUGAUAUCCAGAAGCUGACUGACAGACUGAAGAGUCUGGGGGCUGAGCAUGUCAUCACAGAAGAGGAGCUAAGAAGGCCCGAAAUGAAAAACUUGUUUAAGGACAUGCCCCAGCCACGCCUUGCUCUCAACUGUGUCGGUGGGAAGAGCUCCACAGAGCUGCUGCGGCAGUUAGCGCGUGGAGGAACCAUGGUAACCUAUGGGGGAAUGGCCAAGCAGCCCGUCAUAGCCUCUGUGAGCCUGCUCAUUUUUAAGGAUCUCAAACUUCGGGGCUUUUGGUUAUCCCAGUGGAAGAAGGAUCACAGUCCAGGCACCAUGCCCUGAAUAGAGCACUAGACCAAACCAGAGCAGCUGGAAAUGGUGGAGAAGAGAAGGCUCCAUCCUGGAACAGCAUCUGCUCUCAUCGGAAGGCAGGAACAUUCCUGGGAAGACAGCAGGGCUAGCUGAAAGUCUGUUAUGUUCUGAACCCACACAUGUUUUCGGAAGGACCAGAUGGCUGACACUGGCUAAUGGGAACCAAAAGACGAGUGAAAGUAACCUGGUUGUCACAUACCCCCAGCUUAGAGGUGCUUCACCCUGCCCCAAGGUCAAUUUCUUUUUUCUCUGGAGACUUCACCCCAUUAUAUCAAAAACCUUCACUAUAGCCUGACUUAUCUGAGGUUAGAGUAUCAUUAAAUCAAGCAGCAGCUACACAGGACCGGGAGAGAAGCAUCUGCAUUUAAAAUGGAGUAGAAGGCCGGGCAUGGUAGCUCACACCUAUAAUCCUAGCACUUUAGGAGGCCCAGGCAGGUGGAUUACCUGAGCUCAGGAGUUCCAAGACCACCCUGGGCAACAUGGUGAAGCUCUGUCUCUCCUUAAAAAAAAAAAAUUAGCCAGGCAUGGUAAUGCAGACCUGUAGUCCCAGCCACUCUGGAGGCUGAGGUACAAGAAUCACUUGAGACCAGAGUUGAAGGUUGCAGUGAGCAAAGAUUGCACCACUGCACUCUAGCCUGGGCAACAGACCGAGACUAUGUUUUAAAAUAAAGAAAAAAGGCAGUGGAACCUUGUGGUUUAGAGCUGGGGUUUUUAGAGUCGUGGGUCUGGGUUCAAAUCUAG